UGAACGCUGGCGGCGUGCCUAAUACAUGCAAGUCGAGCGAACAGACGAGGAGCUUGCUCCUCUGACGUUAGCGGCGGACGGGUGAGUAACACGUGGAUAACCUACCUAUAAGACUGGGAUAACUUCGGGAAACCGGGGCUAAUACCGGAUAAUAUAUUGAACCGCAUGGUUCAAUAGUGAAAGACGGUUUUGCUGUCACUUAUAGAUGGAUCCGCGCCGCAUUAGCUAGUUGGUAAGGUAACGGCUUACCAAGGCAACGAUGCGUAGCCGACCUGAGAGGGUGAUCGGCCACACUGGAACUGAGACACGGUCCAGACUCCUACGGGAGGCAGCAGUAGGGAAUCUUCCGCAAUGGGCGAAAGCCUGACGGAGCAACGCCGCGUGAGUGAUGAAGGUCUUCGGAUCGUAAAACUCUGUUAUUAGGGAAGAACAAAUGUGUAAGUAACUAUGCACGUCUUGACGGUACCUAAUCAGAAAGCCACGGCUAACUACGUG
rnacentral:rRNA from 1 species